ACAUGUACGUCUGGCCGACGUCGGCCCAAUAUCGAAACGUCGGCCUCUAUACCUAAAACAUCUAUAAAACAUCGGCCUGGCGGAGGCCGAUAUAAUUUGGUCAGUGCUCUGUUCUCCAGCUCAUCAAUCGUCGGCCCUGAGUUGGUUCACGACCGCAGGGCCGAUGCCGCGCUUCUCUGUGUGCGCGUGCCCAGUAUUCGUCUCUUUUAGCCACCCAGAGAGAGAGAAGAGGAUAAUCCCAGCGACAUCUGUGGCUCUGAGGUAGCGUUACGAUUUCACUUCAGCUCAAUUAGACAAAAAAUACUUCUUUGUUAAUUCUGUGACACUGAAAAAGUACUAGUAAGGCACACGGUGUGUUUUAUACAGUCUAUGGGCAGCUGAAGAGUCUGGCUCAUUUUCAAAUAAUGUUACCGUUAACUUUUUGAGCCAACGGUCACGGUAGCGAUUUUUUUUAACAUUAAUGUUAACGCCUUAAUGCGUUUUCAGAAGUUUCUCGGAGGGAAAAUGUAAAAGCGGGUUAUUAAAGAGAAGUCCUGACUGCUUUUUCACCGUGUUUUUCACUCUUUUACAGGCUUCCAGAAAUAAUCCGGUGAAAUAAUAUAAAUAAAUAAUGUAAAUUAGGCUAACUAUAUAGAUUGAGCUCUUGUUGAUGAAACUCUGGGCUUUUAAUCAAAUCUUCGAUUUGAUUAAAACAAAAUGAUUUUUAAAUUAAUUAUUGAAUGAUUAUUGAAUGAGACUGUACUUUAUAAAUGUAAUGUUUUAACUAUAGAUGUUUGUUUGUGUAAAUGCUGUGUGCGAGUUGAGUCCUGCGCGAGCGGGGAGCAGAGUUGCCAUGGAAACGGGGCAUCAACACAAAAACCGUUACUGGCAAGCAGUAAUCUCCGUCUCUCGCUGCAGUUUACACUGUUUUGGGAGGACAGAAAGAAACUCUACAGAACAGAAGUGAAGCUCCAAGAUUUCAACAUUUCUAAAGGGAGAUUCUGACUUAGAAAUACAAGCUUGUUUCCUUCUAAUGAACCUGGAACUGCAGAGUAAAUAUUGUUGACUCCGUGUCAGAUUGCUUGUUUUGUUCCUGGAUUUUUCAGUGAUGAUGAGCAGAGUCUGAGUGAACCUGCUGUCAGACAGGUUGGCCUGAUUGACGAUGCCAUCGUCCAUCGCCGAUGGCUGAUAGACAUCACGAUGCUGCGCCGGAAACAGCGUCAUCAGCUCCAGUAUCUCGCCCGUGCAUCUGUUGUCAUGCGACAGAGAAGUCACGUUCUAUAGACAGUUUCUAUAGACAGUUGUGAACGUGCUGACAGCUGGUUGCCCAGGCUAUGGAUUAAAGGUAAUACUGUUGGCCAGCAGAGCCCUGCUCACCCUGACGGCCCACCGCUGCUGUCAGACAACAUCUCCAAGAUGCUAUAAACUGCAGGACCAGAUGGCCAUCCCAAGGUUUCUAGAGAUUACAGCAGCUCCAAACUGAAUCCAAACUCACUCGUGAAGACUUCAGAUGACACCAACGCUCACAAAGACUACAGACGACAACUGUACAUGAACACACAAAACAUUGGACACACAAAACAAAUAUUAUCCUUAUUUUGCCUAUAAGGGUAAAUUUGAUGAUUUUCAAACUGCUUUAUUGUAACGUCUCUUAUAUCUGUAAAUGAACAAUAUUUACUCUCUGAGUUAUGUGGACCUACAUGUCCCCUUAUAUUUGUAAGCAUCACUUUAAAAAUGUUGAAAGAUAAUGUUAAUGUUAACUGAAUACAAAACUAGAGACUUGUUUAGUAAGAUUUUAUCAGAAAAUAUUUUUGAACUUUUAUCAUGCAAUUUAAAACAUUUUAAUUGCUUAAUUAGUAUUGUUUUCCUGGUUUUAUUUUGUGUUUAUGUAACUCUUUUUAAAAAGUUCUUGGCAUAAAGUUAGCCCGCGCUGCUGACAGCACUGAACACAUGACUUUUUAUUAUGAACUAGAUGGUCUUCCCAGUGAGUCUCAGUCAUCUCUGGCUUUUUAAACUGUAACCUUGAAACAUGCAUUUCCUGUAAACCUACUUUGAAAUAAGUAUUGUCAAAAGAUGCUAUACUCAUACAACAUUUAACCAUGCAAGUACUGUAGUAAUGGUUAUUUUUGUUUUUACUAUGGGUUUACUGCAAAAGCUGUAGUAAAAUCAUGGUGAUUGUAGUAAAACUAUGGUUGAUUUUGUUUUUUCUAUGGUUUUACUGCAAAAGCUGUAGUAAUAUCAUGGUUAAUGUUCAAAAGACUACAAAUAAUCCCGAAUUAUCCACUUUUGAUCAAAGCAUCUGGUAAAUGUUAUUGUAUUUGUAUAUGUAAUAUGAAAUAAAUGAAAAUAUUAAUAAAGUUGCGUCUGUUCUUGA